ACCUUGGCUCUAGACUGAUUACU
rnacentral:miRNA from 1 species